rnacentral:rRNA from 1 species
CUGUCGCUGGCAGUCGACUGACUGCAUGUGACACGUCCUUCUCUCUCUCUAUCACACCUGUGCACCUUUUGUAGAUCCACCUCGAAAAGAGGAGGGAUCUAUGUUUUUAUCACAUCACACAUAUUUCGUAUGGCCAGAAUGAAACCAAAAAAAAUUAUUACAACUUUCAGCAACGGAUCUCUUGGCUCUCGCAUCGAUGAAGAACGCAGCGAAUUGCGAUAAGUAAUGUGAAUUGCAGAUUUCCAGUGAAUCAUCGAAUCUUUGAACGCAUCUUGCGCUCCUUGGUAUUCCGAGGAGCAUGCCUGUUUGAGUGUCAAUUAAUUCUCAACCAUUCCCUUUCUUUCCAAGGGAGGGAUAUGGCUUGGAGUUGGGGGUUGCUGGCGGUACCUGUCGUCUGCUCCCCUUAAAUACAUUAGCGAUCGAGUUGGCUAGUCUUUGACGUGCACGGCCUUGGACGUGAUAAUGAUCGUCGUGGCUGGAGCGUCUUUUCAUAGACUAUGCACACAUAGAUCGCUUCCAAUCACGAUGGGGGAGACAAGUCUAGCGAUGGUCUAUCGAACUUUUGCUAUUAGGCAGCGAGCGAGACAGAUCUUCAUUCUAGAGUGCUUCACUAUCCUAUGUGAUUUGACCUCAAAUCAGGUAGGACUACCCGCUGAACUUAAGCAUAUCAUA